CCCACAUUUCGUGCUUCAAUCUAUGACAUGCAGGGCCCGCUACACAGCCUCUCAGCCGCGCGCGCCUGUGUUGGCUUAGUCACCGCUGGGUGGGACCGCUGGGUCAGGUCCGUCAUCAAGCUUCCAGCUCCCGGCGCAGCGGUUGCAACGGAAUUUGGAGAUCCCGGGGUGGCAAAUCUCAUCCGCGUGCGCUACGGACCUAAGUACCGACCCCGCCGUCGUGACUCAACCAGGAGAGCAUCAACACCGUGAGGGAGUCAGGGGGAGCUAUGAGGUCUGCCGAUCGGGUGCCGCCGCCGUGGGAUUCCCAUCAGCGUGCGUCUUCGUUCAACCAUCUCGGGGUGGUGGAGCGGGUUAGACAGUGAGUUCGGAUCGUGUGCAAGGUCAACAGGGCAAGGAAGAUGCGAAGGAUUGCUCCUCGGAGCGAUUAGUGGCCGGGGGAUCCGGGAUUGCUCGUCGUGGUCCCUCCAACGCCGUAGAUAACCCUGUACCGUGGCCAGAAGUUUCUAUCGCGCCACUGUCGGUAAGUCCUCCCUCCACAUGUUUGCCAUCAACUCUGCAUCGCGUCGAAGCUAACGGGUUAGGAGGUAGUGACCUGGGGCGUCGGAUCGAGGUUCUUCGGCGUGGUCGCCACCGCGACAUAGCCUAUGUUUGUUUCGAUUUUU
rnacentral:lncRNA from 7 species